UUAGAACCAGUUCCCCCGCUAGGUAGGAGCGAGGGUAAAAGCAUCAAGCGAAGGAGGAGGCGGAGGAGAAGGCAAUUCGACGCCAAGUGGGGGUUGCCACAGGGGUAGCGGUAGAAUUCUGGGGGUUGGAAGCAGCCGAGCACAGUACGCGAGUAGGUCAUACGACGGAGAAGAGCGAUAGUUUGCGAUUAGUAAACGGUCCGUUCGUUCGGUUGGACGAAACCUAUUUCACUCGUUAAACCGGCAAAGAGAGAACCCAGAGACGUACAUUCUCUUUGUAUCUUGUUCGUUUUCGGUGUAGUUGCGCCGUCGUAAUCGUCGUAAUCGUCGUUGUAAUUGUCGUCGUAAUCGUCGUAAUCGUGGUCGUUGUCGUCAUCGUCAUCGCAAUCGCAAUCGCAAUCGCAAUCGUCAUCGUAAUCGUCAUCGUUGUCACCGUGGUCGUCGUCGCUUUCUUCGUUUCGCUCCACGAUCGAUUCGAGCACGGAAGAACAGAGGCAGGGAAAAAUUGUGGACAACAGGCCGGAAAGAAUGCACGACUUUCCACGUUAUUUUUCAUGAAUUUUAUGUUGCCGAACAUGGAACACGGGGAACGUUGUUGACGUUCGAACAACAUCUUCGACCUUAUCGCAUAGUACGAGGAGAAGAGGAGAGAGUGGGCUUUCGAGAGGAAUAGACGGAAACGGAAGAAACUCGGAAUAAAGAGAAGGGAGACAACGGUUCGGCGAGUGAAUAAACUCGCAAGGUAUCGAACAUUUCAUUCUUUCCACGAAUACAAGCUUUCCCGGACAACGAACAAACAGAAAUGCACAGUGGUUGUAUUUCCAACUAAUAUAUAUACACACACACACACAUACAUCUAUAUAUAUAUAUAUAUAUAUAUAUAUAUAUACAUGAU